CACCAUGCUCCCUGCUGCCAUACUUCCUGCCAUGAUGAUAAUGGGCUAAACUCCUGAAACUUUCCAGGGCCUCCUGAUCUCUCUUCUGGUUAAACUAAAGAGAUGCUACAACUUAACACAACAGGAAAUCUAUUCACGCCAAUGAAGACACUAUUAUGCUCCUGCAGAGCCAAGUAUUCCUCUAAGCCACACUGGAGAAGGGGAGGCGAGAAGCUUUAUCAUCUGGCCCUCGCAAUGCUUCUCUAACAUUUGUUUUGUCCAAGAUUCUUAGAGCAGAAGCCAAAUCCAGCCGCUCAAGGGCUGAUUCACAGUCACAAGUACAGGAUAUUUUCUCUUAUUUUUUUUUUUAUAAUACCGGAGAAUCAAACCCAGAGCCUCGUGCACGCGAGGCAAGCGCUCUGCCACAGAGCUAGUGCCCUGCACAGACACGUGUUCUUUCUGCUUUACCUCAUAUGGAAAGUUACUAAGCUAGUUGCCGACUUUUACCAUUAUAGAUCUACUUAAAA